CUGUACCUCAGCAGUAUCAGUAAAAAUAGUAGAUUCAUAUCCACAGAAGCUCAUGCUAAACGAAUCAGUUUGGAUCCUUUUACAUCAUAGAAUUAUAGCACUAAGAUUCCACUUUAACUGCUGUGGUUGCAAUCUAUAGAAUCCUGGGAUUUGCAGUUUAGGGAGGUGUUUUUGAACUUUCAGUCUGAGAUUUCUAGUGAUAGUGCUUGAUUGUUUCUUUCUCGGCCUUCUUUUCUACUUCAUUUGAAACAGACUAACAUAGUUAUAUCUCUGAAAACUGCUAAGCCAGAGGUCCCCAAACUAAGGCCUGCUGGCCGGAUGCAUCCCUUUAAGGUCAUUUUCCUGGCUCCGCCCUAAACCUUAGCUGUAGGGUCUCCCUAACUCUGAAACAACUUGAAGGCACACAUCAACAACAUUUCUCAUUAACUUGAAUAUCUCAUCAGUUAAAAGCAGGCCCAUACUUCCGAUUGAAAUGCUGACUUGUUAACCUUUGCCAGGUAGCAAAAACAGUCCAACUUACACUGCACAGAUGGAUGUCAUGAUUUCUUCUGCUCUGGGUACUUGCCACUGCUUGGGAAUCAAAGGGCGAGGAGGGAAUGUGAAGAAUCUCAGAAGUCACCUUGUCUGCAGGAGUCUAUUUUACUAAUUGUAUGGGCCUUUUGAGGAGGAGGCAGAAGCUGGAAUGAAACUUAACUCAAGCAGACAGUAGACAGCCGUCAGACUGAGGACAAAAUGAUGCAAGUUGGCAGAACCAUUGGGGAUGGGGCCUUGCCUUUUCCUCUCUCAGUGGAGAUAUAUAUAUAUAUAUAUAUAUAUAUAUAUAUAUAUAUAUAUAUAUAUAUAUCACCAAACUGGUGAAUCUAAGGUGUCAUCGAAUCUAAGACUCCAUUUUUGAAGCCCCUCAAAUGGGAAAAAGUGUGCCUAAGAUUCAAUAAAAAUGGUAUUAAAAAAACAACGAAGUCCUACAAAUACAAUGUCCUGAC